AAUGCGUCCCCCGAAAAGCAUUUAAUAGAGUAGGGA
rfam:Tenacibaculum mesophilum strain DSM 13764 genome assembly, contig: Ga0131220_102